GACGAACGCUGGCGGCGUGCCUAAUACAUGCAAGUCGAACGCUGAAGGAGGAGCUUGCUUCUCUGGAUGAGUUGCGAACGGGUGAGUAACGCGUAGGUAACCUGCCUGGUAGCGGGGGAUAACUCUUGGAAACGAUAGCUAAUACCGCAUAAGAGUAGAUGUUGCAUGACAUUUGCUUAAAAGGUGCAAUUGCAUCACUACCAGAUGGACCUGCGUUGGAUUAGCUAGUUGGUGGGGUAACGGCUCACCAAGGCGACGAUACAUAGCCGACCUGAGAGGGGGGUCGGACAAACUGGGAAUGGGACACGGGCCAGACUCCUACGGGAAGCAGCAGUAGGGAAUCUUAGGGAAUGGACGGAAGUCUGAACGAGCAACGCCGCGUGAGUGAAGAAGGUUGUCGGAUCGUAAAGCUCUGGUGUAAGAGAAGAACGAGUGUGAGAGUGGAAAGUGCACACUGUGACGGUAUCUUACCAGAAAGGGACGGCUAACUACGUG
rnacentral:rRNA from 1 species